rnacentral:rRNA from 1 species
UACGAAGGGGCUAGCGUUGCUCGGAAUUAGCUAGGGCGUAAAGCGCACGUAGGCGGAUUGUUAAGUCGGGGUGAAAUCCUGGAGCUCAACUCCAGAACUGCCUUCGAUACUGGCGAUCUCGAGUUCGGGAGAGGUGAGUGGAACUGCGAGUGUAGAGGUGAAAUUCGUAGAUAUUCGCAAGAACACCAGUGGCGAAGGCGGCUCACUGGCCCGAUACUGACGCUGAGGCACGGAAAGCGUGGGGAGCAAACAGG